AGCCAAGGCCACGAGCAACAGUCCUUGUGCCUCAUCUGCCUUGGCCCCUCGUGGCUGCCUUCCAAAAAGUGCUGGAGUAGCAGAAGCAGCUAGCCGCAUGCCUAAGAAGUGGUCAGCAGUUGGGAACAGCUGGAGAGAGGAGGGCCAGUGAGCAAAUAUCAGAAUUUAGGAAAUAAGCCUUUGGCUGAACAAAGUUCACUGUUGUUUUCCAAGAAAGCAGAGCCUGGCUGAACCACCCCCAGAGAACAGGGCAAGGAGUGAUAAACUGCAUGUUGGCUCUCAGCUUCCAAAGCGCCGUACGCUUGGCCACCCAACAGUGACCAGGGCUAGCGCUGCUUCUCUCGGGGCAGAAGAUCACAGAGUUUAAUGAGGAAGUGCUGACCACACAAAGGAGAGGAAGCCUUCAGCCCCGACCACUCCCCAGCCCUGCGUCCCCAUCACCAGUGAGUCACCGCGGAUCCACCCUGAAGCAUGUAGCGACGUCAAGAUUUCUAUGACACCCUCAAACGAAGGAGAACCAGGAAGCCGAGAAGAGGGUUGAGCGCCUGCAUGAUUCACAGUAUAGCCAUGCCUUCAUUUUGUGAUCACUGAAUCGUUUCUGGCUCUAACAGUCUGGUGAUGAACAGUAGAUGACACAACCAAAUGGUGUAAGUCCACUAGGAUGACAAAAUGAGCCAAAGCGUUUGCAGACCGGGUUGGCUGCCUGGGCAGCUGGGUGCACUCGAGCUUCAGUGCACUCUUAUUGUUGUUCAUCUCUCAUGACAGGACAUCAUCCUAUUCGGAGUUCCUAACCCCCUGUGUUAAUUCUUCUCUGCCACCUCUUCUGGUAUUCACUCCCCUGUAAGACGAGGAAAAGAAACGCCACCAAGGCAGCCCUGCUCGGGCACACAGUCCAGCACACGCAGGUUUGUGCUGGAUGUAAAAGCAAAACAAGAACUGUGGGGCGAUCUCCAGCCACUCAUUCAACCUUCACUGCAGUUUCUUCAUCAUUAAAAUGCAAUAUUUGAGGA